GGAGCUAGCGUUGUUCGGAAUUACUGGGCGUAAAGCGCACGUAGGCGGCUCAGCAAGUCAGGGGUGACAUCCCGGGGCUCACCCCCGGAACUGCCCUUGAAACUGCUAAGCUAGAAUCCUGGAGAGGCGAGUGGAAUUCCGAGUGUAGAGGUGAAAUUCGUAGAUAUUCGGAAGAACACCAGUGGCGAAGGCGACUCGCUGGACAGGUAUUGACGCUGAGGUGCGAAAGCGUGGGGAGCAAACAGG
rnacentral:rRNA from 1 species